UAGGUUGCAUAAUACUUCAUUGGGUGU
rnacentral:piRNA from 1 species